rnacentral:rRNA from 1 species
GGGACAAGCCCUGGAAACGGGGUCUAAUACCGGAUAACACUCUGUCCCGCAUGGGACGGGGUUAAAAGCUCCGGCGGUGAAGGAUGAGCCCGCGGCCUAUCAGCUUGUUGGUGGGGUGAUGGCCUACCAAGGCGACGACGGGUAGCCGGCCUGAGAGGGCGACCGGCCACACUGGGACUGAGACACGGCCCAGACUCCUACGGGAGGCAGCAGUGGGGAAUAUUGCACAAUGGGCGAAAGCCUGAUGCAGCGACGCCGCGUGAGGGAUGACGGCCUUCGGGUUGUAAACCUCUUUCAGCAGGGAAGAAGCGAAAGUGACGGUACCUGCAGAAGAAGCGCCGGCUAACUACGUGCCAGCAGCCGCGGUAAUACGUAGGGCGCAAGCGUUGUCCGGAAUUAUUGGGCGUAAAGAGCUCGUAGGCGGCUUGUCACGUCGGAUGUGAAAGCCCGGGGCUUAACCCCGGGUCUGCAUUCGAUACGGGCUAGCUAGAGUGUGGUAGGGGAGAUCGGAAUUCCUGGUGUAGCGGUGAAAUGCGCAGAUAUCAGGAGGAACACCGGUGGCGAAGGCGGAUCUCUGGGCCAUUACUGACGCUGAGGAGCGAAAGCGUGGGGAGCGAACAGGAUUAGAUACCCUGGUAGUCCACGCCGUAAACGUUGGGAACUAGGUGUUGGCGACAUUCCACGUCGUCGGUGCCGCAGCUAACGCAUUAAGUUCCCCGCCUG